rnacentral:pre_miRNA from 1 species
UCUGAUGGAUGAGCAAAAAAAGUAGUUUCUGGAGAUGGAAUCUAUUCUUGGUGAAGAUACUGUGAA